rnacentral:rRNA from 1 species
AGAGUUUGAUCCUGGCUCAGGAUGAACGCUGGCGGCGUGCCUAACACAUGCAAGUCGAGCGGGAUUCAGAUGAAGUUUCGGCGGAUUCUGAUGAGAGCGGCGGACGGGUGAGUAACGCGUAGGUAAUCUGCCCCUUACACAGGGAUAGCCCGGCGAAAGCUGAAUUAAUACCUGAUAAUGCGACGGAGUCACAUGUCUCUGUCGCCAAAGAUUUAUCGGUGAGGGAUGAACCUGCGUCUGAUUAGCUAGUUGGUGAGGUAACGGCCCACCAAGGCAACGAUCAGUAGCCGACCUGAGAGGGUAAUCGGCCACAUUGGAACUGAGACACGGUCCAAACUCCUACGGGAGGCAGCAGUGGGGAAUAUUGCACAAUGGGCGCAAGCCUGAUGCAGCAACGCCGCGCGAGCGAUGAAGGUCUUCGGAUCGUAAAGCUCUGUCCUUAGGGACGAAGAAGUGACGGUACCUAAGGAGGAAGCCCCGGCUAACUACGUGCCAGCAGCCGCGGUAAUACGUAGGGGGCGAGCGUUAUCCGGAAUUAUUGGGCGUAAAGAGUACGUAGGUGGUUUUGUAAGCGAGGGGUGAAAGCCCGGGGCUUAACUCCGGCGAGCCUUUCGAACUGCAAGACUUGAGUGCAGGAGGGGUAAGUGGAACUCCAUGUGUAGCGGUGAAAUGCGUAGAUAUAUGGAAGAACACCGGUGGCGAAGGCGACUUACUGGACUGUAACUGACACUGAGGUACGAAAGCGUGGGGAGCAAACAGGAUUAGAUACCCUGGUAGUCCACGCCGUAAACGAUGAGCACUAGAUGUUGGGAUCCCAAGAUUUCGGCGUCGAAGUUAAC